AUGUCAUCUGGUGCCAGCAAGAUGCCGUUAGGGGAGAAGCAGAAUGCUGCAGUGGGGAAGGAGCCUGUUGAGAAGACGGAAGGGGUGGACUCCAUGAUGGGGCGCCUUAGCCUCCUCGCGGACGACACUGAUUUUGUGGAGAUGAGUGAUGAUGAGGAAGGGGAUUGCUCGGUGCCGGUGAAGUGGUCGCUGCUCGGGAUGAUUCUCUCGCCCUCUGUGAUUCAUAUCAGCACCACCACGUCGGCAAUGCGCCCGGCCUGGGGAAAUCCCAGGGGGCUCAAGCUCAGGAACGUUCGAGACAAUGUGUUUGUGGCUGAUUUCGCGAACAAGUCUGAUAGAGACAGGGCUCAAGAGGGGACGCCAUGGAUGGUGGGUAAACAUGCGGUUCUCCUUCAAGACUACGACCCCCGGCUUCGCCCGUCAGAUAUCAGGUUCGACUCAAUGUCUAUCUGGGUCAGAAUCUUGAACCUUCCCUUUGAAUGGAUGAACAAUCGCAAGGGCCUGAAGAUUGCAAAACUGAUCGACAAGAACUGCAUGGUGGAUGUGGACGAGGGUGGCGAUGCCUCUGGCUCCUUUCUGCGAGCCAGGGUGUCCAUCCCUCUUGAAGGGCCCUUGCGCCGGUGGGUGACAAUAAGGAAGGGAAGCGAGGAUGUGAAAUAUGACCUACAGUAUGAAAAACUCCCCUUCUAUUGCUUCAGUUGUGGCCUCAUUGGGCAUGGUGAUCUAGAAUGUCAGUCCCCAGCAGACUGA
rnacentral:rRNA from 1 species